UUUGGGCUAUUUUGGAAGAGAAGGAAUGAUAUUGUGUUCAAUAUGGUGUUGUCGACUUAGAUGAUUUGGUGGAAAAUAUUAAAGUUCUAUCAUGGUAUUGGAGUUUGAGUAAGUUAAAAAUCACGUCAUGUCUUUACUAUGAGUGGUGUUGGAAUCCUCGGGAAUGUUUGAUUAGGUAACAGUCGGUUUUGGUGGAGUUUUGUGGCAGGGGGAGCUUUUGGCAGGCAGCAGCACCUGUUGUGUGGUCUGGCACGGCUGCUGUGCUGCUGUUAUCUGUUUUUGGUGGCUGGCAGUAUGG
rnacentral:lncRNA from 1 species